rnacentral:rRNA from 1 species
UACGGAGGGUGCAAGCGUUAUCCGGAUUCACUGGGUUUAAAGGGUGCGUAGGCGGGCAGGUAAGUCAGUGGUGAAAUCUCCGAGCUUAACUCGGAAACUGCCGUUGAUACUAUUUGUCUUGAAUACUGUGGAGGUAAGCGGAAUAUGUCAUGUAGCGGUGAAAUGCUUAGAUAUGUCACAGAACACCAAUUGCGAAGGCAGCUUACUAAAGUAUGAUUGACGCUGAGGCACGAAAGCGUGGGUAGCAAACAGG